AGCAGGUGGUUCACCAAUUAAUUUUGACAGCAUUGGAGACAAUGGAACCUUUAGAAAUUAAAAUUUGUAAGUGGAUAGAACUAUUGUGGAAAAGGUCUCAGAGAGGUAAACAUUUCCACAACAGUAAAAAAAUUAAAAUCCACUUCCAAAUAAAAAUACCUGCUCAACGUGUGCAAUAUGCUUAGCGUUUUCAAUACUUUUCAUCGAAG
rnacentral:sRNA from 1 species